rnacentral:lncRNA from 1 species
GCUUACAAUAAGAAAUUAUGGCACAUGCGUAUAAAAUGGUAUUAUCUCCAAAUUAGAAUGUGAAUACAACUAACUAUUAUAUUUUCAACAUAUGAAAGAUUCUCUUGUCCAAGCAAUGUGGAAUAAACUAAACCAAUCAUUAUUCUCACAUAAGUAAACAUCACUACUGCUAAUUUGGAAUCACCUAGCAGCAAGGCACCUUGGUCCAUGACGUGCUGAUACCAUGUUCUCACAUAAGUAAACAUCACUACUGCUAAUUUGGAAUCACCUAGCAGCAAGGCACCUUGGUCCAUGACGUGCUGAUACCAUGGUACUUUGCCCAGGUAUUGUACCAGUACUGACAUGUAUACCAAGUACAGGUAUGGCAGGGUACAUACAAACACAUACCUAGAACACACCAGAAAUACUGGUUUUAAAAAUAAAUGAGAUUUAAAUCAGGUACUUUUAUGGGUACAUUUUGGCCCAAUAAAGGCCCAGCACAACAGGGAUUGUAAACCGGAUCUGGAGGCUGGAGCAGGGCAUGGCACAGGCACCACCCAAUCUCACUCAC